rnacentral:rRNA from 1 species
CCCGCUGAACUUAAGCAUAUCAAUAAGCGGAGGAAAAGAAACCAACAGGGAUUGCCUUAGUAACGGCGAGUGAAGCGGCAAAAGCUCAGAUUUGAAAUCUGGUGCCAUAAUGGCAUCUGAGUUGUAAUCUGUAGAGGAGUAUUCGAGUGUGGCUCUGGCUUAAGUUCCUUGGAACAGGGCGUCAAAGAGGGUGAGAACCCCGUUUGCGGCCUUUGUCCUAUGCUCAUGUGAAUCUCCUUCAACGAGUCGAGUUGUUUGGGAAUGCAGCUCAAAAUGGGUGGUAAAUUCCAUCUAAAGCUAAAUAUUGGCGAGAGACCGAUAGCGAACAAGUACCGUGAGGGAAAGAUGAAAAGAACUUUGGAAAGAGAGUUAAACAGUACGUGAAAUUGCUGAAAGGGAAACGCUUGAAGUCAGUCGCGUCGUCCAGGGAUCAACCUUGCUUUUGCUUGGUGCACUUUCUGGUUCGAUGGGUCAGCAUCAAUUUUGACUGUUGGAAAAAGGUCAAGGGAAUGUGGCAUCUUUGGAUGUGUUAUAGCCCUUGGUCACAUACAAUGGUUGGGAUUGAGGAACUCAGCACGCCGCAAGGCCGGGUUUUAAACCACGUACGUGCUUAGGAUGCUGGCAAUAUGGCUUUAAUCGACCCGUCUUGAAACACGG